rnacentral:rRNA from 1 species
CUCUUAUGAACUUAGCGGCGGACCGGUGAGUAACACGUGGGUAACCUGCCCAUAAGACUGGGAUAACUCCGGGAAACCGGGGCUAAUACCGGAUAACAUUUUGAACCGCAUGGUUCGAAAUUGAAAGGCGGCUUCGGCUGUCACUUAUGGAUGGACCCGCGUCGCAUUAGCUAGUUGGUGAGGUAACGGCUCACCAAGGCAACGAUGCGUAGCCGACCUGAGAGGGUGAUCGGCCACACUGGGACUGAGACACGGCCCAGACUCCUACGGGAGGCAGCAGUAGGGAAUCUUCCGCAAUGGACGAAAGUCUGACGGAGCAACGCCGCGUGAGUGAUGAAGGCUUUCGGGGUCGUAAAACUCUGUUGUUAGGGAAGAACAAGUGCUAGUUGAAUAAGCUGGCACCUUGACGGUACCUAACCAGAAAGCCACGGCUAACUACGUGCCAGCAGCCGCGGUAAUACGUAGGUGGCAAGCGUUAUCCGGAAUUAUUGGGCGUAAAGCGCGCGCAGGUGGUUUCUUAAGUCUGAUGUGAAAGCCCACGGCUCAACCGUGGAGGGUCAUUGGAAACUGGGAGACUUGAUUGCAC